UACGUAGGUGGCAAGCGUUGUCCGGAAUUACUGGGCGUAAAGGGCUCGUAGGCGGCCAACUAAGUCAGACGUGAAAUCCCUCGGCUUAACCGGGGAACUGCAUCUGAUACUGGAUGGCUUGAGUUCGGGAGAGGGAUGCGGAAUUCCAGGUGUAGCGGUGAAAUGCGUAGAUAUCUGGAGGAACACCGGUGGCGAAGGCGGCAUCCUGGACCGACACUGACGCUGAGGAGCGAAAGCCAGGGGAGCAAAUGGG
rnacentral:rRNA from 1 species